rnacentral:rRNA from 1 species
CCUACGGGAGGCAGCAGUGAGGAAUAUUGGUCAAUGGACGAGAGUCUGAACCAGCCAAGUAGCGUGAAGGAUGACUGCCCUAUGGGUUGUAAACUUCUUUUAUAUGGGAAUAAAACGUUCCACGUGUGGGAUUUUGUAUGUACCAUAUGAAUAAGGAUCGGCUAACUCCGUGCCAGCAGCCGCGGUAAUACGGAGGAUCCGAGCGUUAUCCGGAUUUAUUGGGUUUAAAGGGAGCGUAGGUGGAUUGUUAAGUCAGUUGUGAAAGUUUGCGGCUCAACCGUAAAAUUGCAGUUGAAACUGGCAGUCUUGAGUACAGGAGAGGUGGGCGGAAUUCGUGGUGUAGCGGUGAAAUGCUUAGACAUCACGAAGAACUCCGAUUGCGAAGGCAGUUCACUGGACUGCAACUGACACUGAGGCUCGAAAGUGUGGGUAUCAAACAGGAUUAGAUACCCCUGUAGUC